CAGCCUCAGGCGAGCCUCCGAUGCCCACGCACCGCCUCUCCCGUGGCCGUUGGAUCCAAAUUCUGCGGAACCCAGAAAUCCCUAUUCAGAUGGAGGUCUUCUCCUUAAAAAGCAGCCAGUGAAUUCCAGACACUUGUAUCCUCCUUCGCACGCGUCUCGGCGCCUCGGACGCCGUCCUGCUCCUGCUUCUGUUCCUGCUCCGGGCAGAGGAACAAAGGGGAGCAGGUGAGAUUCUCUCUGGGCUGGUCCCCAGGAGCUGCCGGCGGGAUGGGUCCGCGGGGGCGCGAGGACUGACAGAACGGCUAAUUAUAAGGACAUGUGGGCACCAGGAGCGACAUGAUUAUUUAUGCUGCUCUCGCCCCGCGGUCUCCACCAGAAGGGGGGUCUGAGGCAGCUGGGGCCUCAGGGCCUUUGUUGGCAGGGCUCUGGGCUGCUUCUAAGCCUUCGGACCGUCCAGACCGAGGCCCAGCAGUCACCUCAUUUCAGGUGUUUAGGGAAGGAUGCGCCGUCCCCCAGUGGGGUGUCCCCCCAGCCGGCAUCAUCCCAAAGCUGUUCCCUUAUUGGGGGGGGGCAUGGACCCCUCCGAGCCCCAGCCCGGCUCCAGUCAACCCUGGGAGGUCACGGAGCAGCCCAGACCCCCACCCUUUGCAGGACCG